GCUGUAGGCAUUUCAAGUCCACGUACCUUGACUGCUGCCCUGUUCCACUCGAGGAGCGGGGUGAGGAGGGUGACCACAGCCCGUCAUAAAAAGAGAAGCUCCACCCUGUCUUGUCUCUGUGUGACCACACCAGUUCAGUGAUUCUGUGGUGAAACAACUGUGUACUUCAUCUCAGACCAAGAUCUCCUGGAUUUUUACCACCAGACAUCUUUGGAAGACACCCUUUCCUCUUUAGUCAUUCCUAGCUAACCCAAAUCUUCUGGAAGAAGACAAAAGCAGCAACAUUGGUCUCAAGG